GGGGUUGUAGCUCAGUGGUAGAGCACUUGCCUAGUAUGUGUGAGACAUGGGGUUCAAUCCUCAGCACCA
rnacentral:tRNA from 1 species